GCCCGAACAAAAGGCUCUGGCCAUUUUAUGGACCCAGGGGUGGGGAUGGGGGUGAGCUGGAGAGGGGAGGACUAGGUGUGGGAAACAGUGAAUAUUGAGUCAGAGAGAAAAAAGAGGCUUCAAGUGUCCUCCCCAGUGAGGAGGCCUCCGCAGAAUGACCCGAUGAAGAGACCUCCUCUCUCUGAAUGCAGGGAGGGCUAGAGAUGCAGAUAUGCAUAAGCGCAUGGUGCUGAGGAUGGAGUGACUGAGCCCUUGACUGCAGCUCCCUUCAGAGACUGCAGUUUACUGGCUGCACACAGUCUGGUGUGGGGAGGACAAUUUUUCCCUGUGAAGCCUGCCAGGUUUCAGAUAGUAGCUGAACAUGGCAUAGAAAUUUAGGAAUUUCUCUUCCUCAACAACCCCACCUGACACAAGCAUCAGCCACGGUGAGCUUGGCGAUGAUCUCCCUUCCCCUUUGCUACGGAGCUGGUUUGGAUUAAAGUCACAUACAAACUGAGCCAUCUCCAACAUCUACAUCAGGAAGUAACUCUAACUCAAGAUAGAGGUCACUGGAGGGGCAACAGGUGCUGAGAUGUCUAUGCAGGCAAGUCUGAGGUUAGCCUCCCAGAGUUUCGGGGAAAAGCACACAGGCAUUCCUGAACACUCUGAGAGGUGCAGAAAAGUGGCUGAGCAGACAGACACAAGGUCUGGCAUGGAGGCAGAGGAUCACAGCGGAGCAUGGACCUAACAGCUGGAUGCCGUGUGGUGAUAUCACUAUCAGCAGAAGAUGCAACAAGACCGGGGCCACUGCUCAAGGCCAGAGAAACAGGUUCAUGGAAAACCAGUUUAGCAUCACUAACAAGCCACCUUACGGGUGUAGAUAAAGGACUGGCGCCACAACGUCUAUAUGGACUAAACUUUUCAUUUUCAUCACUUUUUGCUUUUGACACCUCCUCCUGCAUGAGGGACAACACCAUUCAGCUGUUGGGAGACAACUGUCCUCGAGUCUCAUGUGUUCCUGCAUUUGUUGUGAGGAGAGGCUCUAACGAUCUUUGCUUCAGACUAUCUUUCCAAGGAUAUUCGUAUGGUGAACAGCACUGAAGGGUAGAGAUGGUGUCUCCCACCAGAGCAGAGGAGAAAUUUGUCUUCUGGCCAGUGUAAUAUAGAUACCUUCCUAGAGGGAAAAGGGUGGGCCUAUUUGCCUGCACCCCAUUAGAAAAGACUGGAUUUUAUACGCUCUGGGUUCCUUGGCUCUUCAUCAUCCUUGUGGGAUUUGUGGGCAUGGAGAACUGAGAACUGGUGCACUCAUGAAGGUUAUGAAGAUCAUGCUGUCUUGUAUUCCAUAAGUGAUAAAGUUCUUUGUCACCAACCCAGAAGUGUUCUGUCUUUUGCCAGAAUCUAUUAAGCUGAGGCGGGCUA
rnacentral:lncRNA from 10 species